rnacentral:lncRNA from 1 species
UUAAAUUAAAACACAUAAAUAAAGUAAAAUUUAUCUAACACAAAGUCCAAUUGAAAUACAUGAAUAUUAAUUUUAAUAAAAGAAUAAAGUAUGUUGCUUCCCCAAAUGUUAGUGCUAAUAACUUCACUCUUGAAUAAAUUUCCAUCUUUAUGUACCUGAAAAAAAAAGAAAAAAAUUGUAAUUUUAGUACUUAUUUUUUUUUAUUAAAUGAAUUAGAAAACAUAUAUUGUAAAUGUUAAUAAUAAAUUAAAUAUUAAUAAAACAAUAAAAAGAAAAAUAAGUAGUGAUUGAGAUACUUACUCCAAUUCUUCUUUGGCUACAACCACAAGAAUUCAGACCAAGAGAUAUAAAAUUCUGAGUAGUUAACCUCUCAAAAAUCAAAGAAGAGUAGAUAAGAAAUUUCAUACUAGUACCGGAAAAUUAAAAAUAAAUAGGAACAUACUAAUACAUACAUGUCAUAUAGCACAUGGAGAAAUCCAAAUUUGUAAUGUCCUAAAUACAUAUUGAAAGUAAAGUAGAUUAUAUACCUUGUCUUGAGAUGUUUAUCAUCCUAGAUUUGAUCUUCUAUGGUAUUAAAUCAACAAAUUAUUUUUUAGAGAAGACACACACAGAUACACACACACACACACACACAAAGGAUGAAAAUAUAGAAGAUUUUACUUAGGCAGAGGUUUGAUUGGGGUAUGAAGUGCAUAUAAUAAGAUAUGAUGAGGGAAAAUAGGGGAAAACUAAAUAUAGGUGGCAAUAAAAAGAGGGAUUUCGAAAUAAAAGAGGGAAUCUUGCCGCUACUUUUUCCUGAAACUUUGAAAAAAAUAGAAACUUAGCCAUGUUUCCAGCAACUUUAUAGCCCCACCAUGUGCUGUGAAUAAUAAUACUUUUUUCCAAUAUUUUCGUGGGAAAUAUCUGUAAGAAAACUUUUUCAUAAAGUACAAAAAAUUAAAAUUCAAAAUAUUUCGUCCAUACGGGAAUCUAUAGGAAUAUUUUAAUUUUUUUUUUAAUUUUUCCACCAUUUUCCCUCGGAAAUAAUUUUUUGUUUUAUAUAAUUAUUUUUUUAAUAAUUUUUCCCGCCUAAUCAGAGGGAACUAAAUAACGCGCAUUGCGCAAAAAUGUUCCCACGGAUAGUCAAUGUGAAACGUUAUAGUUUAUUCCUGAAAAAGAAAAUUCACUUUUUCCAUUGAAUUUCGGUGGGAAUUACCACUAACAAUUUAUCUGUGGGAAAUUUCUGUGGGAAAAUGUUGUGUUUCUAGUAGUGAGAUAAGUGACGAACCCUAAAUGUAAAUCGGCAUGGCCCUGGGCCCUUAAAGACCUUAGAGAAGGAAGACAUGGCAUGAGAGAAGCCAUUGGAGGCUUAGGAGACGAUGAGAGGUAACCGGAGAUGACCGGAGAAGAGAGGUUGGUGGUUGAAGGGAUAGGGUUUAGUUGAGCGUUACUCUGAGAGGAGAGGAUCUUAGGGCAGCGUAUUCUGGGGAAUGAUUAGGGUUGGGGGUCGUUUGGAAUAAAAAAGGCAAGAACGAACAACGGCCAGGAUUUGAUAGGUUUUGGGUCGGGUAGGGGUAAUUAGAGCCUGGGUCAGGUUAUUCUAUUAGAAAUUGGGCUGGGGUUGGGUUAAAAUUGAGGCUAAAAUUGAAAUGCAAUCUAGCUAUAUUUAAAAUAGCCCAUUUAAUCCCAUAUAAUUUAUAAUAAAUA